ACCCCUAGCCCCAUGUAGUAAAAUCCAAAUCCAAAGCCAAAAACUUAAUACUUUGGCUUCUCUUUUCUUUCUUUGCCUAACUAAUAUUCUUGCAUUAUUCCUUCACUUCACAAAAAAAAAACCUAAUCAUUGUAAAACAUAACUUAGUUUGAUAAUUUUCUCUUCUUUCCCUCAAUAGAGGGCUAGAAGUUUAAUUUCAAACUUCUAUAUAUGGAUAAUAUUAUAAAGUUCUCUAAGUUUUUUUUAAGUUUUUUUGUUUUUCUAGUAUUUUUUUUGUUAUUGUUGAUUGAAGUACUUGAAAAUGGAGGUGUUACAACAAAAAUGAAUUAUGUUGAUGAUCAAGUUAUGAAAAAUAGCAAAGUAGUGAUGAAAACACACAAAAGAUCAAGUGGUGCUCAUCAUGUUCAUCAAAAAAUUGAUUUCAAUUUGGUGAGUAAAAGAAGAGUCCCUAAUGGUCCUGACCCAAUCCACAACAGAAGAGCUCGGAGUUCUCGUAGACCACCAGGCCAAGCUUCCAAAGGAAAACUCAACAUUAAGCCAUAAUUAACAAAUUAAGCUAAAUUAGAUAAUUAAGGUUUGUGAGAUGUUUUUUUUUUUUUUUUUUUUUUUGAAAAAAAAAAUCUUGUAUGUAAUUGUUGAAAAAGGGAAGUCUCUAUACAUAUUGUCAGAUGAAUUUUCAAAAAUCUCAGCAGCUUGUGAGAUUUUUUUUAAACUCAAAAUUAAAAAAAAUAAAAUUAGAAGGGUCUUGAAGAAACAAAAAAUUAUAAGAAGAAAAUCCGAAAUUAAAAUUAUUUUCUCAACACCACCAUUUAGAGUGUGUAUGCAGAAUUUUACAUAAGCGAUGUUAUGUGAAAUUAAUUGAGUUAUAUAUAAGUGCAAGGAUUUAUGUAAUUUGAGGUUGUAAGUUUUAACAAGGCACUAUUUUUGU